GCCGACCAGACUUCGCCAGCACUGUGGUGGCUGAAUUUCUUCUUCAGAAAAGCACGGCAAAUUGAAAGUCAUAACAUUGCUUGAGUAUCGAAGAUGAGGCAUUACGGCUUAAGGACUAAGGAAGCGCUGUGGUUGAUCCCAAUGCAACGAAAUACUAUGUGAUUAACUCUUUACUCUCUUUCAAAUUAAUCUCUGAUUUUUCAGCAUGACAGGUAUGGAUCUCACGUCUCAGUGGCGCAUACUUGCUUUGUACGGCCUCUAAUUGAUUAUUUAGUGUCAUUGAAUGUUAUGCAAUUAAGCAAUUACUACCAGUGGACAAGGUUUGAAUUAUUUGUGGCUUUCUUGUGACUGGCAACAAUGAGCCUUGGUUAGAGAAGGCUUUCUCGUCUUUCAGGAGGAACUACGAGGUCUUCUUCCAUGUGCUUGUGUGGCAGGGUCAUCUUAGCUGUCUUGCUUCCACCAUGGGCUGGCAGUGAAUACCAAUAACAUCACUUUGCCUGAUGAUGGUGGGGGAGCAUUGAGUGGGAUUUAUUUGGGAUUAAGGGGCUCUUGCGAAAAUAUACUCAGUUAUGCUAUGGGAUUACUUGGGGGGACUAAUAUGGUCUAGCCCAAAUUGGUGCCGCCCAAUUCUAUGAUGUAACAUAAAGCCCCAUUUGUGGUACUUUGAACACAUGGAUAUAUUUCAGGUCCACCAUUCUUUUUUUUCGAAA